UGGAAAUUGAGAUUUUAAGAAAGAAUAAUCUUCCCACGUUGCUUCCUCUUUGGAUAAAUUUGCCCACUGCACCAAGACUUGGGUGAUUGCAUGAUUCCCUCGCUUGAUCAUCUUCCUCUCCAAAAUCGCAAUGGGUUCUGCCAAUAUUUGACCAUCCUCGGAGCAAAAUGGGGGGUCUUUAGACGGAAUAACCUGUUCACCGACCUUUUUCUUGAGUUGUGAGACAUGAAAAACCGGGUGAAUUUUGGAGGCAGCCGGCAAUUUGAGUUCAUAUGCAACAGGACCCAGUUUCCUUAUCACCUCAUAUGGCCCGAAAAACUUAGCCGAUAGUUUCAGAUUUCUCCUCAUUGCUACUGAUAUCUGUCUAUAUGGCUGCAAUUUCAGGUAAACCAUAUCCCCAAUUUCAAAAGUCCUCUCGCUCCUCUUUGAAUCUGCAUAUUGUUUCAUUCUGUUCUGUGCCUUUAUAAGAUUAUCUUUGAGAAUUUUGUUGGUGAUUUGCCUCUCUUUUAGCAGCUGAUCUAUUGACUCUAGCUUUGAUUGCGCUAUGAGUUCAAAGGAGGGGAAUGGGGGAUCAUAACCAUAAAGAGCCUUAAAUGGUGUCAUCCCGAUGGCUGACUGGAAAUUGGUAUUGUACCAAAAUUCUGCCAUGGGAAUCCAUUUACUCCAUUCCUUGGGUCGAUGACCAGUCAUACAACGGAGGCCCUUGAAUAAUUCUCUCCAAAAUAAGCUUGUGAAAAUAGGAUCUCUAUCGGACAAGAUGGAAGUGGGCACUCCAUGUAGUUUGCAAAUGUUAUCAAGGAAAAGAUGGGCUACCUGAGAAGCAUUGUAAGGGUGCGACAAGUCCCUCUAUAAAAUCCAUGGAAAGAUGUUCCCAAGCUCGAGAUGGAAUUGGCAAAGGUUGUAGAAGACCAGGGUAAGGAACAUGCUCAGCUUUAUUCCUUUGGCAAACCUCACAACUUUUGACCCUGUCUUUAACUUCAUUCAACAGGCCAGGCCAAAAAAAUAAGGCUCUGAGCCUUUUUUGUGUACCAAGUAUCCCUGAAUGACCGCCCCAUGGUGUUGAAUGCAUUUGUUCAAUUAGUUGCUG